AAAUUGAAGAGUUUGAUCAUGGCUCAGAUUGAACGCUGGCGGCAGGCCUAACACAUGCAAGUCGAACGGUAACAGGAAGAAGCUUGCUUCUUUGCUGACGAGUGGCGGACGGGUGAGUAAUGUCUGGGAAACUGCCUGAUGGAGGGGGAUAACUACUGGAAACGGUAGCUAAUACCGCAUAACGUCGCAAGACCAAAGAGGGGGACCUUCGGGCCUCUUGCCAUCGGAUGUGCCCAGAUGGGAUUAGCUAGUAGGUGGGGUAACGGCUCACCUAGGCGACGAUCCCUAGCUGGUCUGAGAGGAUGACCAGCCACACUGGAACUGAGAUACGGUCCAGACUCCUACGGGAGGCAGCAGUGGGGAAUAUUGCACAAUGGGCGCAAGCCUGAUGCAGCCAUGCCGCGUGUAUGAAGAAGGCCUUCGGGUUGUAAAGUACUUUCAGCGGGGAGGAAGGGAGUAAAGUUAAUACCUUU
rnacentral:rRNA from 1 species